rnacentral:lncRNA from 1 species
UGAAACUGCAAGGCUGUUUUACAUGCCUUUUUGUCCUCUUUUGCACAAGGAGCCUCUGCAUUUGAAUCCCUUAACGCCCCACAGCUGUCAUGCUAGCAAGACCCAGGAAACUUUAGUAUUUCAGCCACUCUGCCUCCAGCGGCUGAUCUGUUUGAAGGCUGAGGGUAUAGGGGAAAAGCUGCUGGACUUCAAGGACACGAUGAAAUUUGGUCAAAUCGACUAUGCUUCCUUUGGGCACAGGAAUUUACCAUUAUGGAGUCCAGAACGGUGGGAUUUUGGCAUCGUAGGAAUGCUUGCGAAGACAACGUGCCCUUUUGCAUUUUAA